rnacentral:rRNA from 1 species
CCUACGGGAGGCAGCAGUGAGGAAUAUUGGUCAAUGGGCGCGAGCCUGAACCAGCCAAGUCGCGUGAGGGAAGACGGUCCUAUGGAUUGUAAACCUCUUUUGUCGGGGAGCAAAAGACGCCACGCGUGGCGUUCCGAGAGUACCCGAAGAAAAAGCAUCGGCUAACUCCGUGCCAGCAGCCGCGGUAAUACGGGGGAUGCGAGCGUUAUCCGGAUUUAUUGGGUUUAAAGGGUGCGCAGGCGGAAGAUCAAGUCAGCGGGAAAAUUGAGAGGCUCAACCUCUUCGAGCCGUUGAAACUGGUUUUCUUGAGUGAGUGAGAAGUAUGCGGAAUGCGUGGUGUAGCGGUGAAAUGCAUAGAUAUCACGCAGAACUCCGAUUGCGAAGGCAGCAUACCGGCGCUCAACUGACGCUCAUGCACGAAAGUGUGGGUAUCGAACAGGAUUAGAUACCCUGGUAGUC